rnacentral:misc_RNA from 1 species
GAUGAAGAACGCAGCGAAAUGCGAUAAGUAAUGUGAAUUGCAGAAUUCAGUGAAUCAUCGAAUCUUUGAACGCACAUUGCGCCCAUUGGUAUUCCAAUGGGCAUGCCUGUUCGAGCGUCAUUUGUACCCUCAAGCUUUGCUUGGUGUUGGGCGUUUGUCUUUCGAGACUCGCCUUAAAAAGAUUGGCAGCCGGCAUACUGGUUUCGGAGCGCAGCACAAAUUGCGGUCUGUUCCUGAAUGUUGACGUCCAUGAAGCCCCCAUUAUCACUUUUGACCUCGGAUCAGGUAGGGAUACCCGCUGAACUUAAGCAUAUCAAUAAGCGGAGGA